ACACACAGAAAGAAGUUUAGUAGAAGCAUAUUCUAUUGCCAACUCCUUCUGCAGCUGAAACGGAACAGUCUGAAGAAAUGAAGUCUAAAUGAACUUUAUUAUCCUGCAUAAUUCCUCAGGUCUGUCUCAAGCCCUUGCAGAGUCACACUGUUCAGCCAGUUCCCCAGAGGUGUCUUUAGAUGAACAUUUGGAUAAGUUCUGGAGCUCAGAAGAAACCAGGCCAAAUUUUUGAACCCCUGAGAUUUUCACAUAAAUGCAAAAAAUGUUUUAAUGCUGCUUAGAUGUGAAUAGUUUCUACAGAAAAUAUUGUCAUCUUUAAUGCUGCUACAAAACAAAUAAACAAAAAACAAUAUUGCA